rnacentral:lncRNA from 1 species
UGUAUGGAUAUCCAAGCACAACAUACCAUCUAUAGCUAGCAUCUUAAAUUUCUAAUUUUGUUUCAUUGUUCUUCAAAUCAUUCAAAAGAACAUUAUGGUGUCUAAAGUAGAAGAAGCAAUGAAGAAGAACAAGCAACAACAAUCACAACAACACAAUCAACAACAACAAAAACAAAUUCAAUGCAACAAAGGAAAAGCUGGAAAGUUCAAAAGGAGUAGUUCCAAUGUGGAAGAGGAUGGUCUUUCUUCUGCAAUUCUUUUUCUAGCUUGCAUAGCUUGUGCUCCUUCCUAUGGAUAGCACUCACAAUUCAAUAAUGCAUUCCUUAAUUAAUUAUCAUUUCCUAGCUCAUCUUCAUCUCUUAUCUUCUUCACACCUCUCAUUAAUUAGAAAAUUAGAUUAAUUACAUUCAAUUAUCUCUUUGGUUUUUUUUUUUUUUUCAGCACUUAAUUAUCUCUCGAAUUUGCAUCUUGUCUAUAAACUAUGGUCUUAGAAAUUAUAGUAUAGCCUUUAAAGUUUAAACAAUAUAUAGUUUCAUGUCAUUAUUAUUAUUAUUUCUUAGUAAGUGUACCCUUAAUAAUUCAGUAUUAAUUGUAAUUCAUUUGUGCAACAUCUCUAUUUCAGGUAUUGUAUAAUUUUUUUCCACCACAGCAAAUAUAUAGUUUGUGAUAUUAUUUUUAUAAGCAAAUAUUUAUUGAAAAGAGAGCAAAGGGUACUCAAAUUUGAUUACAAGAGGAAAAUCAAGCAUACUCUAAACAUGAAAUAUGAUUGUUCCACCAGUCUAAAAACAAGUUACUCUUCUCCUUCCCUCUCUUACUAAUAAGCCAAAGUUAAGAAAUCUUCUUGAUUAUGUCAGCAAGCAAAUUAUACCUCCUUUUGUUUUUGAGUCUUGUUGGUUUAUUUUAGUCUCU